rnacentral:rRNA from 1 species
GUGGGGAAUAUUGGACAAUGGGCGAAAGCCUGAUCCAGCCAUGCCGCGUGUGUGAAGAAGGUCUUCGGAUUGUAAAGCACUUUAAGUUGGGAGGAAGGGCAGUAAGUUAAUACCUUGCUGUUUUGACGUUACCGACAGAAUAAGCACCGGCUAACUUCGUGCCAGCAGCCGCGGUAAUACGAAGGGUGCAAGCGUUAAUCGGAAUUACUGGGCGUAAAGCGCGCGUAGGUGGUUUUGUAAGUUGGCGGUGAAAUCCCCGGGCUCAACCUGGGAACUGCCUCCAAAACUGCAUGACUAGAGUACGGUAGAGGGUAGUGGAAGUUCCUGUGUAGCGGUGAAAUGCGUAGAUAUAGGAAGGAACACCAGUGGCGAAGGCGACUACCUGGACUGAUACUGACACUGGGGUGCGAAAGCGUGGGGAGCAAACAGGAUUAGAAACCCGAGUAGUCC